AAGCAUAGUCUGAUGCGUCUGUAGUUAGGGUUUGGGUGGCAGGGGGUAGGAUUGAAUGACAGUCCCUUGUUUUGGUGACAUGUCUCUGCCCACCAAAGAUACUCCUGUUGUAGGCAGGGAAUGAGAGGAAUCAUUGUUUCCAGACUGUGA